CUGUUUGGGAGGAGGCCUGGGGCAGUAAGGCAGAUAGGUCAAAAACAGAUUGGCUCUGAGUUCAGUGCUAUUCUGGAAACAAGGCUUUUGUUGGGACCUUUCUAACCAAUUAUUUUGAUUAUUUUCUCAUCCUAUAAGCUCUUUGCACCAAAUACCAGUUUCCCUUCCCAUCUGGCUGUUUUCUGUCUGUACAUCGCAAGAGCACA